GACGAACGCUGGCGGCGUGCUUAACACAUGCAAGUCGAACGGGCCUUGUCCCCUUUUUUUUGGGGGUGGGGUUAGUGGCGAACGGGUGAGUAACACGUGAGUAACCUGCCCCUCACUUCUGGAUAACCGCUUGAAAGGGUGGCUAAUACGGGGUGUUCUGGCCUGCUCGCAUGGGUGGGUUUGGAAAGAUUCGACCGGUUUUGGUUGGUUUGGUGGGGGAUGGGCUCGCGGCCUAUCAGCUUGUUGGUGGGGUGAUGGCCUGCCAAGGCUUUGACGGGUAGCCGGCCUGAGAGGGUGGGCGGUCACACUGGGACUGAGACACGGCCCAGACUCCUACGGGAGGCAGCAGUGGGGAAUAUUGCACAAUGGGCGCAAGCCUGAUGCAGCGACGCCGCGUGAGGGAUGGAGGCCUUCGGGUUGUGAACCUCUUUCGCCAGUGAAGAAGGUCCUGCUCUUUGUGGUGGGGUUGACGGUAGCUGGGUUAAUGAAGCGCCGGCUAACUACGUG
rnacentral:rRNA from 1 species